GUCACUUUAUUUCCUCAGCCGUCGGAUGUUGAUCGGGCGUCCCAGCACGUGCGUUGCAGCUAGCGUUUCUGGAGGCUUCGUCCACUCUGUUUCCCUAUCCUCACGGCGCCCGCCGGCCGCCGCCACUUGCUCCAGCUAACGUGCCGCCGCUGGUCGAGCUCGAGGCCCAUUCCCGUCCGGUGUCGUCGACUCCACCAGAGGCCGCCCGUUCUCCACGCCUGCUCCCGCGCUCCAUUCGUCCACAUCGACAUCUCCGCCUCCACCCGCCUACUUGCCUGCCUCCUUUGUAUCCCUAAGCGAGGCAAGGAGAGAUUCACGGCCGCGAGGGGGUCAGGUCUCAGAUGCGCUGCUUCCUGCGCGCUCCCUGCUCUGGUGCGAGCUCAUCGGCGACAUCCGCGGUGGCGCCCAACGAGCUAGCUUGGCGCCGGCGAGCGGCGGAACUGGAUUAGAUCCUUUUGCAGCUUGACAUCAGCAUGUGGCAGGCGACCGGCGGAUCUGCUGGGAAGGCCCUGCGUCGGGCGCGUGGGGCGGACAAGCCAUCGGCUUCAACGCGGCUGCACGGGGAGCGCUCCCCUUGCCCACCGUGGAGGGACGGCCGUAGCAGCGUCUGCAUUUCGUUAUUCCGUUCGUGCAUACCGGUGCUGCUCCUUAUGACGUACUAUCGCUCACAAGUUGUUUCUAGAAAUGCCUAAAGACAAGAACGCAACGCAAGCAAGAGCCUGUAAUUCUGUAUGCCUGUGGUCUCAGCUCAUCUUACUUGAACACGGCGAUGCCCCUGCUCAGAUAUGUGUGUGUUCAAACAAGCAUCAAGGCCAAACUUUCUACAUGUAUCCAUGCAUAAAUGGCUAUCUGAAAUUUAGAUGCUACGACAGAACAAACAAUGUGAAACACUAAGGCACGUCACUUGCUAGCGAUUUCUAUUGUGACUGCAGCAUCCCCAUGAUGGCAUGAAGACUUCCGACGAAAAAUAGACUGGAGGCUUUUAUCAAUCUUCUGCUGUGUAAAUUGCUUGUGAUGUCCUUCACCUCUGUGUUAACCAAUUUCUUAGAUGUUUGUAGAAAAGGAAAAUUAUGCCAUCAUUUCUGAUUGCAACUGUAGCAUUCCUAGGAGCAUUUCUGAAGAAAAUAGGACUAGGGCUAUAAGGACAAUGCUUUCCUGUACAAAUUGCAACUAGCGACUGCAUGAUAUUCACCUGUAUGCCAAUAAUAACAUUUUUUUGUUGUCUUCCAUAUUUUUCCACCAUUACUUAAUGUAUAUAUCUUCUGAA